rnacentral:rRNA from 1 species
UAGGGAAUUUUUCACAAUGAGCGAAAGCUUGAUGGAGCAAUGCCGCGUGAACGAUGAAGGUCUUUAAGAUUGUAAAGUUCUUUUAUUUGGGAAGAAUGACUUUAGCAGGUAAUGGCUAGAGUUUGACUGUACCAUUUUGAAUAAGUGACGACUAACUAUGUGCCAGCAGUCGCGGUAAUACAUAGGUCGCAAGCGUUAUCCGGAUUUAUUGGGCGUAAAGCAAGCGCAGGCGGAUUGAAAAGUCUGGUGUUAAAGGCAGCUGCUUAACAGUUGUAUGCAUUGGAAACUAUUAAUCUAGAGUGUGGUAGGGAGUUUUGGAAUUUCAUGUGGAGCGGUGAGAUGCGUAGAUAUAUGAAGGAACACCAGUGGCGAAGGCGAAAACUUAGGCCAUUACUGACGCUUAGGCUUGAAAGUGUGGGGAGCAAAUAGGAUUAGAUACCCUAGUAGUCCACACCGUAAACGAUAGAUACUAGCUGUCGGGGCGAUCCCCUCGGUAGUGAAGUUAACACAUUAAGUAUCUCGCCUGGGUAGUACAUUCGCAAGAAUG